UACAGAGGUCUCAAGCGUUGUUCGGAUUCAUUGGGCGUAAAGGGCGCGUAGGCGGGUGCUCAAGUCCGGGGUGAAAUCCCACAGCUCAACUGUGGAACUGCCUCGGAUACUGGGUGUCUCGAGGGUGGCAGGGGUAUGCGGAACUAUUGGUGGAGCGGUGAAAUGCGUUGAUAUCAAUAGGAACUCCGGUGGCGAAGGCGGCAUACUGGUCCACUUCUGACGCUGAGGCGCGAAAGCCAGGGGAGCAAACGGG
rnacentral:rRNA from 1 species